rnacentral:rRNA from 1 species
GAUGAACGCUGGCGGCGUGCCUAAUACAUGCAAGUCGAGCGAACAGACGAGGAGCUUGCUCCUUUGACGUUAGCGGCGGACGGGUGAGUAACACGUAGGUAACCUACCUAUAUGACUGGGAUAACUUCGGGAAACCGGAGCUAAUACCGGAUAAUAUUUCGAACCGCAUGGUUCGAUAGUGAAAGAUGGCUUUGCUAUCACAUAUAGAUGGACCUGCGCCGUAUUAGCUAGUUGGUAAGGUAACGGCUUACCAAGGCAACGAUACGUAGCCGACCUGAGAGAGGGAUCGGCCACACUGGAACUGAGACACGGUCCAGACUCCUACGGGAGGCAGCAGUAGGGAAUCUUGCGAAAUGGGCGAAAGCCUGACGAAGCAACGCGGCGUGAGUGAUGAAGGUCUUCGGAUCGUAAAACUCUGUUAUUGGGGAAAAACAAACGUGUAAGUAACUGUGCACGUCUUGACGGUACCUAAUCAGAAAGCCACGGCUAACUACGU